GAUGAACGCUGGCGGCGUGCCUAAUACAUGCAAGUCGAGCGAACAGACGAGGAGCUUGCUCCUCUGACGUUAGCGGCGGACGGGUGAGUAACACGUGGAUAACCUACCUAUAAGACUGGGAUAACUUCGGGAAACCGGAGCUAAUACCGGAUAAUAUAUUGAACCGCAUGGUUCAAUAGUGAAAGACGGUUUUGCUGUCACUUAUAGAUGGAUCCGCGCCGCAUUAGCUAGUUGGUAAGGUAACGGCUUACCAAGGCAACGAUGCGUAGCCGACCUGAGAGGGUGAUCGGCCACACUAGAACUGAGACACGGUCCAGACUCCUACGGGAGGCAGCAGUAGGGAAUCUUCCGCAAUGGGCGAAAGCUUGACGGAGCAACGCCGCGUGAGUGAUGAAGGUCUUCGGAUCGUAAAACUCUGUUAUUAGGGAAGAACAAAUGUGUAAGUAACUAUGCACGUCUUGACGGUACCUAAGCAGAAAGCCACGGCUAACUACGUG
rnacentral:rRNA from 1 species